rnacentral:rRNA from 1 species
GACGUAGGAGGCAAGCGUUGUUCGGAAUUACUGGGCUUAAAGAGUUCGUAGGCGGCGCAGAAAGUAGGGUGUGAAAGCCCUCGGCUCAACCGAGGAAUUGCGCUCUAAACUACUGUGCUUGAGGAAGCUAGAGGUGAGCGGAACUGAUGGUGGAGCGGUGAAAUGCGUUGAUAUCAUCAGGAACACCGGAGGCGAAGGCGGCUCACUGGGGCUUUUCUGACGCUGAGGAACGAAAGCCAGGGGAGCGAACGGG